rnacentral:rRNA from 1 species
AACGAACGCUGGCGGCAGGCUUAACACAUGCAAGUCGAGCGCCCCGCAAGGGGAGCGGCAGACGGGUGAGUAACGCGUGGGAACGUACCUUUUGGUUCGGAACAACACAGGGAAACUUGUGCUAAUACCGGAUAAGCCCUUACGGGGAAAGAUUUAUCGCCGAAAGAUCGGCCCGCGUCUGAUUAGCUAGUUGGUGAGGUAAUGGCUCACCAAGGCGACGAUCAGUAGCUGGUCUGAGAGGAUGAUCAGCCACAUUGGGACUGAGACACGGCCCAAACUCCUACGGGAGGCAGCAGUGGGGAAUAUUGGACAAUGGGCGCAAGCCUGAUCCAGCCAUGCCGCGUGAGUGAUGAAGGCCCUAGGGUUGUAAAGCUCUUUUGUGCGGGAAGAUAAUGACGGUACCGCAAGAAUAAGCCCCGGCUAACUUCGUGCCAGCAGCCGCCGUAA